CUGAGUAGCUAAGGGAGGUGUCUUGAGAUUAUCAUCGGCUGAGGGUGGAAGCGGCCCCCGCAGACGCUCGGCAGGUGUCUUGAUAUUAUCAUCUGCUGAGGGUGGAGCUGAGGGUGGAAAGGGAGUGAGCUGACGCUCGGAAGGUGUCUUGAGAUUAUCAUCCGCUCAGGGUGGAAGCGGCCCCCGCAGACGCUCGGCAGGUGUCUUGAUAUUAUCAUCUGCUGAGGGUGGAGCUGAGGGUGGAAGGGGAGUGAGCUGACGCUCGGAAGGUGUCUUGAGAUUAUCAUCGGCUGAUGGUGGAAGCGGAAUCCGCAGACGCUCAGCAGGUUACCAUGCCAGCAAUGAUUCCUUUUGAGUUUCUGACAGAAGAUAGUGGUUUUCAUCCAAAUAAGUCAACUACUCUACCCCAUCCCUAAGCCACUUGUAUGGAAAGAAAAAGAGGAAGAAGCCAGUACUGUGACUGCGUAAGCUUCCCCCAGCAUCACCGGCUAUGAGAUGUGUGGCAGCUGAGACCCGGGAACUGCUCAAGGGCACCAGGCCCCAUCUGUCUGCACUCACUCACCUUCCUCAGGUACUCG
rnacentral:lncRNA from 1 species